CAUUCAAGUUUAUGUCAAACAAAAUAUGACUGACAGAACUCAUCAACUUCUAGAUGCUCGAUCAAAGGGCAGAUACACAGUGGUGGGUGUUUUGUCCCAGCCUCAAGCCGUCAAUCCAUUUUGAUCAAUAUAUCUAGUAGAAGUAAGCAUGCAGAUCAUUGUCUUCGAGGCCGG